AACGAACGCUGGCGGCAGGCCUAACACAUGCAAGUCGAGCGAGGACUUCGGUCCUAGCGGCGGACGGGUGAGUAACGCGUGGGAACGUGCCCUUUGCUUCGGAAUAGCCCUGGGAAACUGGGAGUAAUACCGGAUGAGCCCUUUGGGGGAAAGAUUUAUCGGCGAAGGAGCGGCCCGCGUUGGAUUAGGUAGUUGGUGGGGUAAUGGCCUACCAAGCCGACGAUCCAUAGCUGGUUUGAGAGGAUGAUCAGCCACACUGGGACUGAGACACGGCCCAGACUCCUGCGGGAUGCAGCAGUGGGGAAUCUUAGACAAUGGGGGAAACCCUGAUCUAGCCAUGCCGCGUGAGCGAUGAAGGCCUUAGGGUUGUAAAGCUCUUUCAGCUGGGAAGAUAAUGACGGUACCAGCAGAAGAAGCCCCGGCUAACUCCGUG
rnacentral:rRNA from 1 species